AUUGAACGCUAGCGGGAUGCCUUACACAUGCAAGUCGAACGAGUGGCGGACGGGUGAGUAAUAUAUCGGAACGUGCCCAGUAGCGGGGGAUAACUACUCGAAAGAGUGGCUAAUACCGCAUACUAUCGGAUCAGCCGAUAUGGGAUUAGCUAGUGGGUGGGGUAAAGGCUCACCUAGGCCACGAUCCGUAGCUGGUUUGAGAGGACGACCAGCAACACUGGGACUGAGACACGGCCCAGACUCCUACGGGAGGCAGCAGUGGGGAAUAUUGGACAAUGGGGGAAACCCUGAUCCAGCCAUCCCGCGUGUAUGAGAAGGCCUUCGGGUUGUAAAGUACUUUUGGCAGAGAAGCGGUAUCUGCAGAAUAAGCACCGGCUAACUACGUGCCAGCAGCCGCGGUAAUUC
rnacentral:rRNA from 1 species